AGAACGAACGUUAGCGGUGUGGUUUAGGCAUGCAAGUCGCGCGCGAAAGUCUUCGGACGAGUAAAGCGGCGAAAGGGUGAGUAACACGUAAUCAAUCUAUCCUUGAGACUGGAAUAACCACUGGAAACGGUGGGUAAUGCCAGAUGGUCCUCGUCGAAGGCAUCUUCGGCUUGGUAAACGGUGGCGUAAGCUGCUGCUCUUGGAGGAGGUUGCGGGCUAUCAGCUAGUUGGUGAGGUAAUGGCUCACCAAGGCUAUGACGGCUACCGGGUCUGAGAGGACGGUCCGGCACACUGGGACUGAGACACUGCCCAGACUCCUACGGGAGGCUGCAGUCGAGAAUCUUCCGCAAUGGGCGAAAGCCUGACGGAGCGACACCGCGUGCAGGAUGAAGGCCCUCGGUUGUAAACUGCUGUCAGGUUCUAGGAAUCGCCUCACGUUAAUAGCGUGAGGUUUGACCAAGACCAAAGGAAGCAACGGCUAACUCUGUGCCAGCA
rnacentral:rRNA from 1 species